ensembl:lncRNA
UUUUUUUAUUUUUUUUUUACUUACUACAGUUGUCUAAGUCCUACCAGCUCACUGAAAAGUAGGUGUCAAAUUAGGGGAAAAAAAAAGUCUAUUUCUUUCUUAUAAUCUUUUUAUAGGUUUAGAAAGGAGAUGGAAACAGCUGUCACUCUUUAUCCACUCAUUCAAACAGUAAAAUCACCAUGUAGUUGAUAGGACAAAUGUGUGCACACCUGAUCCUUCCCUAUGUAUACACUGCUCUUAUUUCUUUCCUAUUCCUCUCCUCUCACCUGUUCUGUGACUCCCCAGAAGGAUGGAACACUACAAAGAGUUUUAAAAGGAAAAAGAAAUAAAACACCUGCUAAUAGGAGUAUAAUACAGAUAUGUAAUAAUGUAAAUGUAAAGCCCUAUAUCUUUUCAGUCAUAUAAUAUAACCAAGCAUAUGGCUCAAGUUUUGCACUAACAAGCACUACAUUCAUCUCCUUGUGAUAGUGGUCACAGAAAUCAACAUUUUUAGCUGUGCUUCAGUUAAACCUUCUCCCUGUCUGUGUGCAAUUCUCUGUUCUCCUCUCAGGUAUUUUGCAUGGCAAGUGAAUCCAUGGAAGAAAAGCUAGAGCUAUUUUCAUUUCCUUCACAAAGCUAUGAAAAGCAGUAGGAAGAAAAGAAUCUGGCCUUUCAUGUUUUAUUGACGUCUGUAUUCCAGCUAACUGUCAGGAACUUCACUGCUGCAGUACUUUAGAAGCUUUUCAGUUCUGCUCCAUAAGAGCAGGAUGUGGUGGAUCACUAUUCAUGCUACAGACAUUUAAUCCAGAGCAGUGUACAAAUCAUCUGCUCUACACAACUGACAUACUUAAAACCUAAGCUUCAGUAAAAGCAUUUGAAUCCUCAAAACCUGCCAGGGCCCUCUGAAAGCACUGGUGAUGAAGAGCAUAUGUUACAUAAUGUGGUGUCAAAGAGCUGCUAGAAGGACAUCCAGGUGAGUCAAACAGCUGUGUUGCAUUUGGGCAAGAAAUUAUCAUGGUUCCUGGCAAUGUAAUGUAGGAACCUUCCCUCUGUACCCAAAUGUGGGAAUGUUUUCAAUGCUGGUCAGUGUACUGAAGCAACUGGAAAACCGAGAAGUCUGUCAGCAUUAUUGAACAUUAUAUCUCUGGCUAUAGAUGAUCUACAAUGCUGCAAUAAUAGGCCUCAAAACUGAAGCCAAAUAAUUCAUCAGGGUAACAAAACAACUCUUCCUAGGCCUGACAGAAAAACAGCACAGACCCCUCUUUACGUGACAGAAUACAUAUUUAUAUAUUGGGUACUGAGAGAACUGAGGACGUCACCAAAAACUGGCCCUGAUCCAUACAUGCUCAGAAACACUGUAAAUUUCAGUGACAUUUUUAUAAGUUCACUGGUAAAGUUUCAUGGUCUGGCAGAGUGUAAUAGCAAUUUUGACUGAUAAGCAGUCAAUAUAAUGUCUCAAAUUAAAGAAGAGUGGAGAGAAGUGAUUGGGACAAUUAUAUCUUGCUAUUUAAGCCCCUUGAUGCUUGACUUAGAUCUUUUUAAAGGUCAGAGUUAUUAACCAUGUGGAAAGGGCAGUGGGUUAAGAAACAACUGUGGCUCCUCAAAGGUAGAUUAACUGAGACAAAAUUAGCAGUAUUUGGGUAAGUUCUUUAUUAGGCAAGGGUAGAAUUACUGUUACAGAAUAAAUUAUUUGACAUAGCACUCUACUAUGAGGAUUCAGACAAAAAUUUGAGAAGAAAUUGGCUGAAGUGAAGAUGUUAUGGACUGUAGUGUAAAGAAUUAUUAAAAUGAGAGAGAGCAGAUCUCUAUUCCUCAGGAGCAAUUUAAGUUUGUAACUGAUUUCACUGGUGAUUUUGUACACAGGAAAGAUCACAUGCUCCUGGCAUUUUCUGAUAACACAUGUUAGGAGCUAUCAUAAGUAGGCAGAAGAACAAGAUAUUUUUCUGAAAGAAUAGAAGGACUUUGAGAACUGAUAUAACAGAAAGGAGCUGAAAUCAAUAGGAAAGGAAGGGCCAAUCAUGCAUUUAGAAAUUAAUAAUAAGUAACUCUAAGACCUCAACUCUUAAAAAUAGCUGGAGAAAGUAACAACCUCGGUAUAUUAUGGCAAUGAGCUAUAAAUUUAAUACAGAUGUUCUUAAAAAUGCAGAUCCUUUCAUUGACGUAUGUUCCAUGUUAUACCACCAUAGACUAAAAACUCUAUUGUUUGCUAAUUUUGGAGAGUAAUGAUCAGGAACAAUUAUGACUUUAGAAAAGAUUUAGAAAAAAGCUGAGGGAAAAGGAGAACCUGGUAGAUGAGAGAAAAUAUUAUAAUGCUUAUUUGCCUAGAAUAAGAUAAGGAAGGCUGAGGCAGAAAGGGAGUCAACUGAUUCUUUUGUAUCCUGGGAUGUAAAUGAUUAACUGUCAGAAAAGAAAGAAGGUAUUCAAGAUAAAAAGGUAUUCAAACAUAAGCAUGUGAAUAGUUGUACAUAGACUUGCUAGUGAAAAUAAGUUGGAAGUUAGAUCUUUACAAAUGUUAAAACACAGAGUAAGUGUCAAAAAAAUUUUGAGAAGACAAAAACUGAGAUGCUUCUCAGAUGGUCUCUGUUCUAGUUAUAGAAUUAAAGGCUGCACUUGCUGUGCCAGCAGCUGAUGAUGCAAUAAGCCAAUCAGCAGAUUUGCCCUGUUUUCUCUCUGUUGGUUUACUUAUUGUUCCUCCAUAUAAUGUCAGAGACUACUUUAUGACCUGAUUAGUAAAAUAAGGAAAUAUGUUAAAUACAAGGGCUAGCAUUUCACAGGAGAAUGACUUCUUGCUCUCACCAGCACAUAUUUUUAACCAAUCUAUUUGCAGUCAUUUUGAAAUAACAAAGGAACAAAAAAAUUCAGACAGAAAAUUAAGUGUUCUAAAUAUGAUGGCAAGUAAAUACAUACAAUGGUGGCUUAUUGGACUCUGUACAUAAGUUGGAAGAGACUGUCACAUUCAGUGUAUUUUUUCUAUACAAUCUAAUGUCAAAAUAUAUCUAUCAUGCUCAGUUGCUAGUAAUAGUUCAUGCUUUUAAAAAUUCAGACAGAUGAAUGAAAAUAUUUAACAUUGUGUAAAGGGGAAAAAAAGGCUUUAGUUCACUGAAUUUUUGAACAUAUGUCAAGUUCAGCAACCACACUUGAAUGCAACUAAGCCUCUUCAGUGUUGCCUGUCUUUUAUCUUGGGCAAGGACUGUUUUGGGACUUUAUGGCUGAGCAUCCCACAAGAAUCCUGCAACAGUUCUUGUAACAAAAUGGGAAGCUGAAAUCGAAGUGCAAGACCUCUUAGUUCCUCUCAUUUUAGACUACUCAGUCAGGUUGCAGAAUCCUAUGAAUUACAUUCUUCAGUGUCUGAGUGCUUAUACAUUAUAUGACAGUGCCAAGUGGUUAAGGACCUAUUCAGGAAGCUAUGGAGUUAUUAAGUUAAGCAAUAAAAUAUAGACAUUAUUAAAGUUAUUGAACUGAUUAUGUGAUAUUUGAGUCUUAGCAAUUAGCAUUCAGUUCAGGCUUUAUUUAAUUAAGUAAAUAUACUGCCAUGUGACAUCCACUUGUUUUUGUUCUUAAAAUUUGUAUUAUUCCAAAAAUGACAAAAAGAAAAAAAAAAAAAAAA